rnacentral:rRNA from 1 species
UACGUAGGGCGCAAGCGUUAUCCGGAAUUAUUGGGCGUAAAGAGCUCGUAGGCGGUUUGUCGCGUCUGCCGUGAAAGUCCGGGGCUCAACUCCGGAUCUGCGGUGGGUACGGGCAGACUAGAGUGCAGUAGGGGAGACUGGAAUUCCUGGUGUAGCGGUGAAAUGCGCAGAUAUCAGGAGGAACACCGAUGGCGAAGGCGGGUCUCUGGGCCGAUAUUGACGCUGAGGAGCGAAAGCGUGGGGAGCAAACAGG